rnacentral:rRNA from 1 species
GACGAACGCUGGCGGCGUGCUUAACACAUGCAAGUCGAACGAUGAAGCCGGAGCUUGCUCUGGUGAAUUAGUGGCGAACGGGUGAGUAACACGUGAGUAACCUGCCCUUGACUCUGGGAUAACUGCGGGAAACUGUAGCUAAUACCGGAUACGACCCUCGGAGGCAUCUCCUGGGGGUGGAAAGAAUUUCGGUCAAGGAUGGACUCGCGGCCUAUCAGCUAGUUGGUGAGGUAACGGCUCACCAAGGCGACGACGGGUAGCCGGCCUGAGAGGGUGACCGGCCACACUGGGACUGAGACACGGCCCAGACUCCGACGGGAGGCAGCAGGGGGGAAUAUUGCACAAUGGGCGCAAGCCUGAUGCAGCAACGCCGCGUGAGGGAUGACGGCCUUCGGGUUGUAAACCUCUUUUAGCAGGGAAGGAGCGAAAGUGACGGUACCUGCAGAAAAAGCACCGGCUAACUACGUGCCAGCCGCCGCCGUAA